CCCCCUGAAAAACCGAUCAUUUCACUCCACUGAAGCAGCUGGCAAAUUCCUAGCAGCAAAAAGCUUCUUCUGUCGGUAUACUAAUCCGGUUUCGACAGGUCAACCGCCCCCUGAUUGUUCCAGACUUCCAGUGCGCGCCGUGAUCAUGAUUUGUGACAUCAUGGAACGCUUGAAUUCAAAGCAAACCCCCACAAUGCUUUCUUGGCAUUGACACGGAAGCAAUGAUCAGAUCAACCUGUGCAUAACACUACACCCAAAUCUUCUCUUCAUUUCACAUCUCCCUUUCUUUUCGUUCGUUGCGAAAAAAAAUAUGUUUAUUUCAAGAUUUUCGUAUUGAUACAAACUUACAUUUUGUGAUAUGAACUAAAAACAUGUAACAAUUAAUUAACUCAAAAAGAAAUGCGUACAUUUUGUGGUAUAAAACUAGAAGCAACUAAUUUGUACACACAUGAUCGCAGAAUAUUUACACUUGAUCAUGCAUUAGUAAUUAAUUAAUUAACGAGUGCUCGGUCAAAACUGCAAAGAGAGGAGACCUUCACCGGACGGCAGAGGCGACGGUGUGGGCCCAGAGGCGGAGGUGCUGCUUCAGGUCGGCGCCGUCGCCGGCCGGCGGGGUCCUCCCGUUGCGUAGCAUCGNNN
rnacentral:lncRNA from 1 species